rnacentral:rRNA from 1 species
ACUCCUACGGGAGGCAGCAGUAGGGAAUCUUCCACAAUGGACGCAAGUCUGAUGGAGCAACGCCGCGUGAGUGAAGAAGGUUUUCGGAUCGUAAAGCUCUGUUGUUGGUGAGGAAGGAUAGAGGUAGUAACUGGCCUUUAUUUGACGGUAAUCAACCAGAAAGUCACGGCUAACUACGUGCCAGCAGCCGCGGUAAUACGUAGGUGGCAAGCGUUGUCCGGAUUUAUUGGGCGUAAAGCGAGCGCAGGCGGAAAAAUAAGUCUAAUGUGAAAGCCCUCGGCUUAACCGAGGAACUGCAUCGGAAACUGUUUUUCUUGAGUGCAGAAGAGGAGAGUGGAACUCCAUGUGUAGCGGUGGAAUGCGUAGAUAUAUGGAAGAACACCAGUGGCGAAGGCGGCUCUCUGGUCUGCAACUGACGCUGAGGCUCGAAAGCAUGGGUAGCGAACAGGAUUAGAUACCCUGGUAGUC